rnacentral:rRNA from 1 species
CAGUAGCCGCGGGAAUACGGAGGGGGCUAGCGUUGUUCGGAAUUACUGGGCGUAAAGCGCACGUAGGCGGCUUGGUAAGUUAGAGGUGAAAGCCUGGAGCUCAACUCCAGAAUUGCCUUUAAGACUGCCGAGCUAGCAGGUGAGAGAGGUAAGUGGAAUUCCGAGUGUAGGGGUGAAAUUCGUAGAUAUUCGGAAGAACACCAGUGGCGAAGGCGGCUUACUGGCUCAUACUGGACGCUGAGGUGCGAAAGCGUGAGGAGCAAACAGGAUUAGAUACCCGAGUAGUCCCUGUCUCUUAUAC